UUUAAAUGCCUAUCGGCACAUGCCGUAUCUACCGUACUGUAUAGUGUCAACAAGAUAUCGGCACGAUACAGUCCCAUAUCGAUGGUAUAGCUCAAAACUCUUUUUUAAAAAAAAAAAUUAGUAAGUAAUUUUCUCAAUAAAGUUCAAAAGACUUGAUAAGAUACAUAAUAAGUAAUGUUAAUAUUUUGUUGCUAAAGAAAAUAAAUAUUUCAUAUAAUUAUGUGUUGGCAAACAGGUAUUUUCUUUUGUAACCAGUAUGCAUCGGCGGUCCGGCACGCACCGUGCCAUACAGUGCGGCAAGUUUUCGGCACGACUCUAUGCCACGACACUUAAAUCCUUUGUAUGAAUUCACCUAUCAAAUUACAAAAAUUAGAAACUCAUCAAACCCGAGGCACAAACAUUAACACAACCAAACACAUAC
rnacentral:lncRNA from 1 species